CAUGUAAAAGUCGGAACUAUGAAACUCGAAACUAGCAAACUCGGAAAUGUAAUUUCCUAGUUCCGAAUAGUAGGUGAACGCGUUAUAAGAACGGACGGGACCCAUACGAUCGGUCACACACACAGUCGCUUCUUUUUGACGUAAUUUUCGGCUGCCAAGCAAAAAUCUUUCUUUUUUUUUCAUUUCGGAAAGCAUUUAGUGAAGGAAGUAACGUUAGCUGGCUAAUACAACGGGCAAGAAUUAGCCACCGAUUAACAAGUAACGGAGGAUGAACCUGGAUCCUGGCUGGCUGCUGCUCCUAUCCAUGUCUCUGGAGGUUUGGUCAGUGCCCCUCGACCGCAAUGCAACCCCCCAGGAAGCACAGCCUCCUCAGGAGGAAAAUGUGGACACGGGCCUAUACUAUGACCGGUAUCUGAGAGAGGUGAUUGAGGUGCUGGAGACAGAUCCCCACUUCAGAGAGAAACUCCAGACUGCCAACACAGAGGACAUCAAGAAUGGUCGUCUCAGUAAGGAGCUGGACCUUGUGGGGCACCAUGUUAGAACUCGUCUGGAUGAGCUGAAGAGACAGGAGGUGUCUCGCCUCAGGAUGCUGCUCAAAGCCAAACUGGACAGCACCAACACACAGAGUUUACAGAUGGACCAUGCCUCUCUGUUGAAGCAGUUUGAACACCUGGAUCCACACAAUCAGAACACCUUUGAGGCCAAAGACCUUGAGCUGCUCAUCUCAACGGCCACUAAAGACCUAGAGAACUACGAUGCAGAGAGACAUGAUGAGUUCAAACGCUAUGAGAUGCUGAAGGAGCACGAGAGACGGGAGUACCUCAAGGGUCUGGACCAGGAGAAGCGAGAGAAGGAGGAGAAGAGGAUGGAGGAGCUGAAGGAUAAACACCGCAAGCACCCCAAGGUCAACGCUCCGGGCAGUGUAGCUCAACUGCGUGAGGUAUGGGAGGAGACUGAUGGACUGGACCCAACAGAGUUUAACCCAAAGACCUUCUUCAAACUGCAUGAUGCGAAUGGAGAUGGUGUUUUAGAUGAGCAGGAACUAGAGGCCCUCUUUGCCAAAGAGCUGGAGAAGGUCUACGACCCAAAGAAUGAGGAGGAUGAUAUGAUGGAGAUGGAGGAAGAGAGGCUGAGGAUGAGGGAGCAUGUCAUGAAGAACGUGGACAUCAAUCAAGAUCGACUCUGUGUCGGUUCACAGCCUGGAAGAGUUCCUUAAAUCAACAGACAAGAAAGAGUUCAAUAACCCUAAAGAAUGGGAUACUUUAGAUGACACCAAGCCGGUGUUUACAGAGGCUGAGCUCCAGCGGUUUGAGGCGGAACUGCGGACCAAGGAGGAGGAGCUCGGUAAGAGGGCGGAGUCUCUUCGUCAGGAGCAGGAUCUGCUGAAGGAGAGGGGCAAGGCCCUGGAGGCCCAGAGACGAGAGUACCAACAGGCAGUGCUAGAGAUGUCUCAGAGGAAGGAGAAACAGGCAGUGGAGGGGCAGCCUCCUACGGGUCCUAACGGAGAACUACAGUUCCACCAAGAGAUGCAGAAACUGGAAGAUCAAGGUGCUAAAGCUCCUGUUGAACAAGAAGUCCAAGAGGCCCAGAAUAACCUGCCUGCAGAACCACCACAGAACCUGCCCAUACACACCUAAUGCAGAACCCUGAUACACAUAGGGUUGCAAUGGGAGGGUAUAUUACUGGAAACUUUCUAAGUUUACCAGUAAACUACCAGAAUUUUUGUAACUUUCAAGGAAUAUAUGUAAUUUUAUCAGAUGACAUCUAGUGUCUUUUUUGGUACUUCAGAUUAUCACAGGUGUUUGUGAGCAUGGUUACAUGCAUACCAUAAUUGGAUUUUGUUUAAAACAUUUACAUGCUUUGCAAGAAGAACAAUUUCCUUAAUAAUCCUGUUUACGCUGAAAUCAGGCUACUGAUGAGACUUCAGAUAAAUUCAGAAAAUCAGCCAUCUAAAAAAAUGUUUGACCACAUUGGCCAAACUUUUUGCAAAACCUUUUUGAUUCUGAGUUGGGACAUAUAAAGUUUGUAUGUGAAAACAAUUUCUAAUAUGCAUACUUUUGUUUUUCCAAAUUCACGCAUAAGAGGGAGUCUUGCGCUACCUGUGCUGGGCGCAAAUCAAAUACACAGCUCGAAUGCAGUAAUUUGAAAGAUUGCCUAGAAAACCAGGUGUUUUAAUUGGUGUAUGCUUACUUAGAUUUUGACCUUACGCCGAUUCAAGAUAAGCAGAGUAAGGUGUUCACGUGACUAUUUCCAUACCUGGCAUAAUGCCAUAAUCAGUUUAAUAUCAAAUUAUUAGUGUGCAUGUAAACAUACUCAUGAAUUAUCUCUGGCCCUCUGUGUGGCCUUAUCAGAUAUAACAUCUAUACAAUAAUUAAAUGAGAUGACAAAGCUGUAAAAUAUCCUAAAUAUAAACCAUCAACGUAGUGAAUGUCAUUGAUGUUUAAUAUGAGGGUUUCAGAAUAAAAUACCCUUUGUUUAUUUUACACUUUUUUAUUUUACUAUGUCAAUAUGUCUUUGUUGUAAAUAUUUGGGGAUCAAACUGGUGGCAGUUGUGAAAAAUACAAUAGUUUGUGGAGUGAAUUGAAAACAAUGCAAUUGUUGAUUAGAUGCUUUUCCAAAAUGAUUUAGGUUAUUUUUCUCUUGAACCAUAUAGUCUAUCCACUAGAAACUCACGGACAUUAUGGUCACAGAUGUAAAAAUAAUAAUACUAUAUAUGAAUAACAUUUUUUUAGUUCAAGUAUAAAUCACCAAAGUUACCAUAGAUGACCUGUUAUUUACCAAAAUUACAGAGGAUUCCAGUAACUUUGGUAAAAUAGUGGUAGCUGUGCAACCCUAAAUACACACAUGCUCUUGCAGGAACACAUCUCUUUCACUGACACACAUAUCCAGAUGGGUACAGCAGAUGACAUCAUACAGCACAAGCGCACAACCCCAGUCAGUCAAGCACAUCGUAUCGUCCCCUGGCACAGUCCCGGUGUUCACCUAUCUCUGUGGUUUACAUUUGAUCUCAAUAAAUUAUUCAACUCACUGGA